AACGGUCUAUACCUGCGGUACCUGCGGAGGGAUCAUUAUUGAAUAAACUUGGUCAAGCUGUUGCUGGUCCUUCGGGGCAUGUGCACGUUUGCCACCAAUUUUAACCACCUGUGCACCUUUUGUAGAUUGGAAACGUUUCUCGAGGCAACUCGGAUUUGAGGACUGCUGUGCGCAAGCCGGCUGUUCUUGUGUUUCUCAAUCUAUGUUUUCAUAUACUCCUAAUGUAUGUAUCAGAAUGUA
rnacentral:misc_RNA from 1 species